ACUUUGCAUGCGCGCCGCGGGUAGGACUGGACGGUCGGAUUUGUAGGCAAUUCUGACACCGAGCUCCCGGGCUCGGUUGGUAGAAGAUCGCUUUGGGAAUCCUCCUACUCUACGAGGACCAAAAACCAAGGACGCCAAGCCAUACAAAUUCAGCACAGCUGACUCAGAGAGGUGGAAAGGAAAUCAGGACAAAAAGCCAAAAUGUCUUCUGGAGGAGGAUAUUGCCAGCCAGAAUAACUGUGAGAGAUGCAAGCAUAGUCCUGGAAACAAACAGCACAAUUCCUUUAAAGCCCUAAAGGAUGAAGAUCUUCCUGUAGAGAAGUAUUUAAUGGAAAGGCAGCCUGUAGGUGAGCCAGCUGCCGACCAGGUAGCUAUGGAUGUGAUGCACAGCCCCAUCCUCCAACUGGAAAGGAAACACAAAGUCUCAAGUGACAGCAACCAGACAGAGACUACUGCAGAGAAGUUGCCAGAGGACUCUUUCCUAAAAAACAAGCAAAAACAGGUUUAUAUAGGGCUACAUCCUAAGAAACACCAUUUGAUGCACCUUAGAGAACAGUAGGAGCAGCAGGUGUUGGCAGCAGAGAACAAACCUAGUCUGCAAGGCAGGAAGGAAGUGACCCAGACAGUCCAGCCUGAGGUCACUGCCUGGGAUUGUGAUAUCAUGAAAGAGAAACUCAGCAAGAAAAGGGCAGAGGUCAAAGGCAACAGAAGCUGGUUGGAAGAAUUUCUUAAACCCAGUGACAACGAAGAAGGCCCUCCACCGAAGAAUAAGGUUUUAUCCAACAAUGCAAGCAGCCAAAAGCCGACUCACUCAAGCUGCAUACCAUUGUUGAGGCUGCCUGAUAAGCAGCAGAAAGUUAAUGAGAGCAUUAAGACAGACAUGCUGUGCACAGACAAGGAAGAGGAGUGCCCUGCUGCCUCCCUGCUGCAGAAAUACACCAAUAACAGUGAGAAGCCAUCUGGGAAGAGACAAUGCAAAACCAAGCACUUGAUAUCUCAGGACCUGAGGCAGGGGUUCCUGCUAACAGGGAAGUGCUACGUUGAGAAUGCUGAUGGCAAGAUACCUCUUGGCACUUGUUUUCUCCUUGGGCUUAUAUAGAGGCUAUUUCCCCUCACCCCAACAUUCCCCACCUACCUGCUUUUCUCAAGGAUGUAAAGCCUUUCUUUUACUGGACUCCUAACUUCCCUGUCUUAGAGGGGAAGUCUUCCUUGAUGGUGAUAAAAUUGGAAACUAUUAAAAUUUAAGUUCAUACCCCAGUCUGUAACACUUUUCCUUUGAUAUUCCACCUCCCAGGAAGGAAAGGAAACUGCCUUCCCCAUGCAGGUUUGUCUUACAGGAAGGAGGAGGGGAAGCAGUGGAUGUGGAAAGGAUGUAGUCUUAAUCUUAACUGUGUAUACUAAUUCGUUUUGUCUUAGUCAACUGUCCCAAGAUUCAGAAAGCAACUUGAACCCAGUUCCAACUAUGAUCUGACUUCAUCCAAGCAGGAGAUGAAGCCCUUCAACUGCUUGCAAGAGUUGCUACCAGCUUCCCAGUCCAUGAAGCUGCCACACUCAUGUUCCCCUCAGGAAACCAACCAAUCUCGCCCAGUGCAGCUGAGAGCAAGGAGAAUUAUUGUCGAUAGGCAUGCUGGUGAGACUCUCCUGCAGCAGGCAGCAUGGCUUGGCUAUGAGGCAAGGUCUUGCUCUGUCACCUAGGCUAGAGUGCAGUGGUGCGAUCUCAGCUUAUUACAACCUCUGCCUCCUGGGCUCAAGUGAUCCUUCUACUUCAGAUUCCUGAGUAGCUGGGACCACAGAUUACUUAAAUGACCUACAGGGUUGCAGUGACAGUAAGCUGAAUAGCUCUUGGGAGUUCUACGGCAGCUCUGUCUGUGAACCAGAUAAUGGAGGGGAAUCCAAUGUUUUGGCAGACCCCCCAGGACCAGAGGACCAGGAUGAUGACAAUGAGGCUUGCAGUGAUGUGUUUGAAUUUAAAUUUUCAGAUACCCCCUCUUACCUUGUUAAAACAUUCAAGUUUCAUCUUUGCAGGGACCACAAAACUGGUUAUUGCUUUCAGAUGUACUUAAGAAAGUGAAAAUGUCAUCCUGCAUAUUUCGCUGGAGUUUUCCACAUCUGAAAAUUGUCCCAAUUGCAGAGGCAGAGUUUUACAGACAGGUUUCAGCAAGUAUCUUGUUCUCUUCCUCCAAAGACUUGGAAGCCUUCAAUCUGGAAAGCAACAAACUACUAGAUUUACUAGAAUGUACAAAUGAACUCCAGAUUCUCCUUGGCUCCUCUCUGGAAUGCUUAAAUCCCAGGGAUGUGGCCUUGGAGAAGGACCACUGAUGAGAAGUCAAAUCCCACUGUAUACUGUGUGUUCUAGUGUUCAUCCUUGUUUAUAUUUAUCAAAGUACAACUACUUCUGUGGAGGAGGGACAUUAUUACAUAUGAAAAUAUUUCAGCUUUAUAUAAGAUAAACCCUCUAGCUAGAAGAUUUAGAAAGAUGUCUUUUUAUUUUAAACUUUUGUUAUGAAAUUGCUGAAAUGUUUCUUUAAUUUUCAAUGUAUAGAAACUGCUUUGAAUAAAUUUGUUUUCAUUUGGAACGUCUUUUAAAAGGAAAAUAUAAUGAGGAAAAAGAGCCUCACCUACCUACCUAUUGACUUUUUUCCACACAAAGCUCUGAUGACAGAGAUCAUUGACAUUUAUAAAUAAUGUCAUCAAAAUUGAGUGUUUGGGAGAAUAAAUUUGGUAAAAGCAUUUGAUAUUGUAACUUCUUUGUUUUGUUUGCUGCGUAUCUUCUUAUGCCAGGUAUAUGCUAUUGGGUAUAUUUCAACUUAAAAUUACACUGAAACACAACUAAUUGUAUGAGAUUUAUAACCUAACUUAAAGGUUGUAAAUUAGUUUCUAUGAACCAAUCUCAAAUAUUUUAUGAUCUUCUAAUGAAGAAACUUUAAUUUAUUUUCCUCCUCCUCCUUCUUCUUCUCCUUUUUUCUUUUCUUUCUUUCUUUCUUUCUUUUUUUUUUUUUUUGAGGCAAUGUCUCACUGUUAUCCAGGCUGGAGUGCAGAGGCACAGUCAGAACUCACUGCAGCCUCUACAUCCCUGGGCUCAGUGGUCCUCCCACAAUCAGCCUCUGGAGAAGCUAGGACUAUAGGCCUGUGUAAACAUGCUUCGUUAAUUUUUUUUUUUUUUUUUUUUUUUGUAGAGACAGUGUUUAGCCAUGUUGCCCAGGCUGUUCUAAACCACCUGGGCUCAAGUGAUCCGCCUGCCUCUACCUCCCAAAGUGCUGGGAUUACAGACAUGAGCAGCCAUGCCCAGCCUGUUUUUCUGUUCACUAUAAAAUAUUGAAAAUUAAGGACAGUUGAGUUUGCUUGAAAAUGUAAAUAUUUUAAUUCUGUGCUUAUAAUUUCUUUCAACUUUGUUAGAUUUAUGCUUCUGUAACACUUUUACAGAAAUUUUCUGAAGAUGCAAUAAAACUGUUGAGGAAAGG
rnacentral:lncRNA from 1 species